rnacentral:lncRNA from 1 species
AGAUAAUCGAAAUACAAAUGUUCAAGAAUCCUUUGAACAUAUUACUGAUGAUUUCAACGAGACACUCAACGAAUACAGGCUAGGCUAUGAAUCUGUGCCUGAGCCUUCCCUAUCUGACCUUUCAUCUUAUAUUCCUGAUGAUAUUGAGACUACUCUCCUUCAAAACAAAAUGCCAAGUGUUGAUUCAGAAGAUCAAAUGUCAGCAGUAGAAAUCAAGGAUUCAACCUUGCAGGAACAGGAGGAGUUGCCAGUCCAGUCCAUUGAUCAACAACCACCAGUUCAAGAGAAAUCACCUGCACCAUUUCCCUCUUUUCACAAUGAGCAGUCUAGCAAAAUCAUUGACGAUAUGUCUGGCCCUAUGGCAAAUGAGGUUACUGAGGGAUCAGUGAUAACUAAGUCUGAACCUCGAGUUGUGACCACCAAAGAUCUUUUAGAUAGACCAGAUUCGCCAGAGACCCUGAGUGAUACAGAGACGUUUGAAGCAGAAUGUUCAGUAACCGCAGCGACUGACAGCUUUGUGGAGUUCAUGAGGGAGUGUCUUAAGUCACGGCAGGAUGAAGAACCUGAAGUCCUCAGUCCUGGACUCAAAACUAUAGACCAGAAUCCCAAAUCUGAUGCUUCUGCUUCCACUCAAUCCUCCCCAGCAAUGAUUAUAGACUUGGAGCAGGAGCGCCUCACAAUUUCGGCUUUGAAAGAGCUCGGAAGCAGCCAAGAGGAGGAAGACAUGAAUAUUCCCACCAUGAAGACUGUCCUAAAGCCUGAUAAAGCUCCACUUCCUACACCUAGUGCUGAGGCCUCAGUCACCUCAUCUUCUCUCACUCCUCAAAGCGAGUACCAGCCUGAUGCCUUACUUCCCAAAGAGGUAGAGGCAAUCGACAUUUGGGUAGCAGAGGCCUACCACCUUGCAGAGCAUGUCUUGACAGCAAUACUAACCCACCUUACAGGUAACAUGUCUUUCUUCUGGGCAAGCAGCCUGCUAACCCUGCACGCAUAGUACUGUACGCCCAGACACUAGACCUUACUUACCUCUUUUACUUUAUAAUUCAACUUUAAUUUACUCAACUCUAACCUAUAAGAAUGCUUCUGAAACUAUGGCAAUAAGUAACAUUUAAUAGCCUUUUGGAGAUUAUAAAUGGCUUGUUUGUUGUGAGGCA